rnacentral:tRNA from 1 species
GGGUUAGUGGUGUAGUGGUAUGAUUCUCGCUUUGGGUGCGAGAGGUCCGGGGUUCGAUUCCCCGCUAACCCC